rnacentral:rRNA from 1 species
GACGAACGCUGGCGGCGUGCUUAACACAUGCAAGUCGAACGGAAAGGCCCUAGCUUGCUGGGGUUCUCGAAGGGCGAACGGGUGAGUAACACGUGGGUGAGCUGCCCUGCACUUCGGGAUAAGGCUGGGAAACUGGGUCUAAUACCGGAUAGGACGAUGAUUUGGAUGCCAUUGUUGAAAGUUCUUGCGGUGUGGGAGGAGCUCGCGGCGUGUUGGAUCGUUGGUGGGGUAUUGGGCUACCAAGGCGACGGGGGGUAGCGGGCCUGUGAGGGUGUACGGACACAUUGGGCUGCAGAGACGGGCCGCAGUCGGGCGGGAGGCGCAAGUGGGGAAUAUUGCACAAUGGGAGCAAGCCUGAGGCAGCGACGCCGCGUGGGGGAUGAGGGCCUUCGGGUGGUAAACUCCUUUCGCUAGGGACGAGGCGUUUUUGUGACGGUACCUGGAGAAGAAGCACCGGCUAACUACGUG